GCAAAACGCGAAGAACCUUACCACCUUUUGACAUGCCUGGACCGCCACAGAGAUGUGGCUUUCCCCUCGGGACGUAGACGACAGGUGCUGCAUGGCGUGUCGUCAGCUCGUGUCGUGAGAUGUUGGGUUAAGGUACCCGCCAACGAGCGCAACCCUACCGCCACUUAGUUUGCCACUCAUUCAGUUGGGUAACGUCUAAUAGGGACGUGCCGAUGCUAAGCCGGAGGAAGGUGGGGAGUGACGUCAAGUCCUCAUGGCCCUUACAGGGUGGGCGUACACACGUGCUACAAUGGCGACUACAGAGGGUUAAUCCUUAAAAGUACGUCUCAGUUCGGAUUGUCCUCUGCAACUCGAGGGCAUGAAGUUGGAAUCGCUAGUAAUCGCGGAUCAGCAUGCCGCGGUGAAUACGUUCCCGGGUCUUGUACACACCG
rnacentral:rRNA from 1 species